GACAGAGGCCCGAGCGUUAGGCGGAAUCACUGGGCUUAAAGCGUGUGUAGGCGGAUCGUUAAGUGUCUUGUGAAAUCCCACGGCUCAACCGUGGAACUGCUGGGCAUACUGGCGAUCUUGGGCCAUUCAGGGGCGACCGGAACAAGCGGUGGAGCGGUGAAAUGCGUAGAUAUCGCUUGGAACGCCGAAGGUGAAAACAGGUCGCUGGGGAUGUGCCGACGCUGAGACACGAAAGCCAGGGGAGCAAACGGG
rnacentral:rRNA from 1 species